UGGGGAAUAUUGCGCAAUGGGGGAAACCCUGACGCAGCAACGCCGCGUGGAGGAUGAAGGCCCUCGGGUCGUAAACUCCUGUCAGAGAAGACGAACGGCGGAGUGGCCAAUACCCACUUCGUUUGACGGUACUCUCAAAGGAAGCUCCGGCUAACUCUGUGCCAGCAGCCGCGGUAAUACAGAGGGUGCAAACGUUGCUCGGAUUUACUGGGCGUAAAGCGCGUGUAGGCGGACUUGCAAGUCGGUUGUGAAAUCCCUGGGCUUAACCUAGGAACUGCAUCCGAAACUGCAUGUCUUGAGUAAUGGAGAGGGUGGCGGAAUUCCGGGUGUAGCGGUGAAAUGCGUAAAUAUCCGGAGGAACAUCAGUGGCGAAGGCGGCUUUCUGGAUCAACACUGACGCUAAGGCGCGAAAGCGUGGGGAGCAAACAGGAUUAGAUACCCUGGUAGUCCACGCCGUAAACGAUGAGUGCUAGGUGUUGGGGUGUUUACAUCUCACUGCCGUAAUUAACGCGUUAAGCACUCCGCCUGGGGAAUACGGCCGCAAGGUUA
rnacentral:rRNA from 1 species